UACGUAGGGUGCGAGCGUUAAUCGGAAUUACUGGGCGUAAAGCGUGCGCAGGCGGCGCGUUAAGAUAGGUGUGAAAGCCCCGAGCUUAACUUGGGAAUUGCGCUUGUGACUGGCGGGCUGGAGUGUGGCAGAGGGAGGUGGAAUUCCACGUGUAGCAGUGAAAUGCGUAGAGAUGUGGAGGAACACCGAUGGCGAAGGCAGCCUCCUGGGCCAGCACUGACGCUCAUGCACGAAAGCGUGGGGAGCAAACAGG
rnacentral:rRNA from 1 species